CCUACGGGAGGCUGCAGUGGGGAAUAUUGCACAAUGGGCGCAAGCCUGAUGCAGCCAUGCCGCGUGUGUGAAGAAGGCCUUCGGGUUGUAAAGCACUUUCAGCGGGGAGGAAGGCGUUAAGGUUAAUAACCUUGGCGAUUGACGUUACCCGCAGAAGAAGCACCGGCUAACUCCGUGCCAGCAGCCGCGGUAAUACGGAGGGUGCAAGCGUUAAUCGGAAUUACUGGGCGUAAAGCGCACGCAGGCGGUCUGUCAAGUCGGAUGUGAAAUCCCCGGGCUCAACCUGGGAACUGCAUUCGAAACUGGCAGGCUAGAGUCUUGUAGAGGGGGGUAGAAUUCCAGGUGUAGCGGUGAAAUGCGUAGAGAUCGGGAGGAAUACCGGUGGCGAAGGCGGCCCCCUGGACAAAGACUGACGCUCAGGUGCGAAAGCGUGGGGAGCAAACAGGAUUAGAUACCCUAGUAGUC
rnacentral:rRNA from 1 species